GACGAACGCUGGCGGCGUGCUUAACACAUGCAAGUCGAACGGAAAGGCCCUGCUUUUGUGGGGUGCUCGAGUGGCGAACGGGUGAGUAACACGUGAGUAACCUGCCCUUGACUUUGGGAUAACUUCAGGAAACUGGGGCUAAUACCGGAUAGGAGCUCCUGCUGCAUGGUGGGGGUGGAAAGGUUUCGGCGGUUGGGGAUGGACUCGCGGCUUAUCAGCUUGUGGGUGGGGUAGUGGCUUACCAAGGCUUUGACGGGUAGCCGGCCUGAGAGGGUGACCGGCCACAUUGGGACUGAGAUACGGCCCAGACUCCUACGGGAGGCAGCAGUGGGGAAUAUUGCACAAUGGGCGGAAGCCUGAUGCAGCAACGCCGCGUGCGGGAUGACGGCCUUCGGGUUGUAAACCGCUUUCGCCUGUGACGAAGCGUGAGUGACGGUAAUGGGUAAAGAAGCACCGGCUAACUACGUG
rnacentral:rRNA from 1 species